AAGUCGUAACAAGGUUUCCGUAGGUGAACCUGCGGAAGGAUCAUUAUUGAAUGAAUCGAGGGGUUGCUGCUGGCCCGCUGAGGGCAUGUGCACGCUCUUCAAUUUUCCUUCUCCACCUGUGCACUCUUUUGUAGACUCUGGAAGGGGCACCUCUCGAGGCAACUCGGGAUGGAAGGGGUAGCUUUCGGGCCUCCCUUGCAAAUUUCCAGGGUCUAUGAUUUUUCACAUACACUUUUGAAUGUCAUCGAAUGUCUUUCAUGGCUUGCCGUAAAACGCAAUGCCUUUAAAACUUAAUACAACUUUCAACAACGGAUCUCUUGGCUCUC
rnacentral:misc_RNA from 1 species